GAAUUUGAGAGAGAUCUCUGGUUCUAAAGAGAAGUUAACUUUUCUCCCAGUUCUCUCAACUGUACCAAAAUGUGACUCCCCAGAUAAUUCUAAUAGCAAUACUAAUAAUGGGUUAUAGUAUAGAACACAAGUUUUGUUACUGUUCUUUUGAGUUUUCUUUUAAUUAAAAACUAAUGUCUGAUACCAACAUUUAUCUAUUUUCCAGCCUCAGAUGCCUGUAAUGAAGCCAUCUGAAAUAAAUCAGAGGUCAAGAUACAGCCAAGAUAUCCAACAGCCCUCAAGAACCAUUUAUCAAGGUGAUCCCUGAUAAUAGAUUGAAAACUGGAAAGAAUCAGGAAUGGAAAUUCCCAAGUGAGCUGAAUGGAGAGGCAGCAAGUGAGAAAAAGAGGGACAUGAGCACUUGAAGAAAAGAGCACACAGAAAAGAAACAGGGAUACUUUCAAUCUCCCCAUACCACAGAGGAGACAACCGGUGUUGUGGCCUUACUAGACUUGGUCAAUCAGACUCAGAAAGCCGAGCACCUCCGUGAAAGGUGGUCCAGAAUUGGUGACAGCCAGGGCAAAGAGAGAGCCUUGCUUUUCUGGUGUCCAGCUUCAAGAGAGAAUAUGGGCAAUUCCAACUUCUCUUCAGGUCCUUGAUGGGAGAAAGUCUCUGGGAAGAAGCUAACAUGUAGCAUUUCAAUCAUGUCCCUAUUUCCAUCUUGCUACACAAGAGAUUCAAGGAAUUUUCCCUUGGGUGAGAUUGGAGAUAUCCCUCUUGAUUGAGGUGAGUUAUCUUGCUCCCAACAGAAGACUUCAUUCAUUUUAUGUUCUUAUAUGUAUACUUCUCUGCUUUCUGUUUUGCUACUGACUUGGAUAAGUAGAUUUCUUCGCAAUUGUCUACGUGUAUUCAUUGUGGAACUGGAG
rnacentral:lncRNA from 1 species